rnacentral:lncRNA from 1 species
AGCUCGAAUUGCUGGGCCGAGUGCAGUCCUGGAGAUGAGGAACCAGUGGGCGCUGUCGCUUUUAUGGCAGUUUUUUGGAAGAUCCUUCUUCCAAUUCCAACAAGUGGUAUGCGUUGUUUAGUGGUUAAGGAUUGGGGUGGGCAUGGACGCGAAAUGAUUGAUGGGAUUUUCGGACAAGAAGGUAGGAUUUUGGGCAGCGCCGUUGACGCCAAAGAUGCCAUGAUUUUUGCGUUUUUUUGAGGCGAAGGGGAUUGGAUUGAUUGUUUUGGGAAUUCCUUGCCAGCCUGCCUGUCUGCCUUGCUUUGCUCCGGCCUCAC